GAUGAACGCUGGCGGCGUGCCUAAUACAUGCAAGUCGAACGAACAGGCUAUGAUCUUUGUCGGCGGGCUGAGGCGGCAAAGGGGUGAUUAACAGGGGGAUAACCGACCUAUGCGACUGGGAUAACGUCGGAAAACCGGGGCUAAUACGGGAUAGUAGAUUGAACCGCAUGGGUCAGUAGGGGAAGACUUUUUUGCUGGCACUUAUAGAUGGAUCCGCGCCGCAUUAGCUAGUUGGUAAGGUAACGGCUUACCAAGGAAACGAUGCGUAGCCGACCGGAGAGGGUGAUCGGCCACACAGGAACUGAGAGACGGUCCAGACUCCUACGGGAGGCAGCCGUCGGGAAUCUUUCGUAAUGGGCGAAAGCCUGCCGGAGCAACGCCGCGUGCGUGAUGAAGGUAUUCGGACCGUAAAACUCUGUUAUUCGGGAAGAACAAAUGUGUAAGCAACUACGCACGUCUUGACGGUACCUAAUCAGAAAGCCCCGGCUAACUACGUG
rnacentral:rRNA from 1 species